rnacentral:rRNA from 1 species
GUGCGGGGUGCUAUAAUGCAGUCGACGCUUCUUUCCUCCCGAGUGCUUGCACUCAAUUGGAAAGAGGAGUGGCGGACGGGUGAGUAACACGUGGGUAACCUACCCAUCAGAGGGGGAUAACACUUGGAAACAGGUGCUAAUACCGCAUAACAGUUUAUGCCGCAUGGCAUAAGAGUGAAAGGCGCUUUCGGGUGUCGCUGAUGGAUGGACCCGCGGUGCAUUAGCUAGUUGGUGAGGUAACGGCUCACCAAGGCCACGAUGCAUAGCCGACCUGAGAGGGUGAUCGGCCACACUGGGACUGAGACACGGCCCAGACUCCUACGGGAGCGCAGCAGA